GGUGAUUUACUCUGUUAAACAGAGUAUGCGUACAUGUACAAAUACUUAUCAUGGAAUGAUAAUUGUAGCCGUCCGGUCUUUUCGAUACUCAUUAUUAUCGAUCGGUAAUUAGUUCUUGUAUUUAAAGUUAAACUCGCCCGCCCUCAGCGCAUUCAUAGUGUCGCAAGUUGAUCACAAUAUUUUUGACGAAAUGUCCCGUCACAUCGUGAUAUCUUUCAUGUUGUUAGUUGCACUUAUAAAUUUCAAGUUUGCUGCUGCAGCUGAGGAGGUUGAUGAGUAUCUUGUGAAGCCCGGCCCCGAUGGCCAAGAUAUAGUUGUAAGUAACUCUAUAGUACCAGCGAAUUUAGUCGAUGAGAUCGCAGAACAAGUAAAGGAAGAAGAACAUGAGGAGUAAUUGUUACGCUUUAUUCCUGUAAUAAAUACUUAAAUAAU